GUGAGUGACUCUCCUGGGAAGCCAACUGCUCUGGCCCCUGUCUACUCUCCAGGGGACGGAGUCCUAGGACAAUGAAUCUCCUGCCCCCUCUGAACCAUCCCUGAGCAAGAACAGCCUACCUGAGCCAGUUUGGAGAUCUGGGACACAGUGACAGAGAAGAGAUGGCUUCAGAGCAAGGAAACGCCACUAUGACAGCAAAUGUUGCGUGGCCUGAACCACGGCCUGGGCCUGCGGUAGGAUUCUUUCUUCUCCUUGGGGACACUCAAAGCUGGAAGCCAUCAAAUGACUCAGAACAACAUCUCAGCAUGCACCUCACACAACCACUGCAGUUAAAGUUAAACCGCGCAAAGCUCUGUGGAGCCAAAGGAAGGCUUUGUGUACGCUAAGUUCACAUUCUCCCAUCGAGUCACAUCUCCAGUGCCGCCGGUGGCCUCUUGAUGACAUCAGGACUUUACGGAAGCAACGGAAAAGGCACUUCGUUGUUUAGAGUUUGUCCAUGGUUUGGAUUCAUCUCUCCUGAGCCUAUGUUCAUAAAUGCAUGAGUAGCAUUGUCCCCAAAGAAACCACAUUUAAGAGUUAGAUUUGAAAGAAGGACUAGGAAUAUUUUUAUAACUGUUUUUGUUUGUUGGUUUGUUUGUUUGAGACCAAAGAUUCCAUGCUGUUGAAAAAGUUGGAACGAACAGCCCAUGGCUAUGUUCCAGUGACCUACUACUGAGCCCACUUGCUCUCUGGAAGAAAAAUGCUGCCCUCAAAGACUCUAUAAGUAGAAUUCUUCAGGUGGGAAUGGACUGGCCACUGCCGAGCAGAUGCAGACGGCUUCUGUACCUGAGCUUCCUGCCGUGGCCCUGGUGGGAGACUGGAGGGUAGAGAACAAAACAAGCUAAGUAAAUUACGUUUCCAAAUGACAUAGGAACAUUUUUUUUUAUUGUCAACCAUAUUUCUACGU